GCCUGGGCCCGGCCCGGCCCGCCUCAUUGUUGUCGGCUCCUGAGAUGAACUACAUUCUGUUCUUGGAGAAAAUUUUGCAGAGUUGUUGCAAAACAGCAUGGACUUUGUCCAAUUGUCUGGAUAAAGGAAGAUUCCAUGCCUUUCCUUUAUCUCAAUGACUGUUAGUCCAAUUGCAGCACAUUUAAAAACAACUCUCAUUGACCAAAGCGCUGUACAUCGGUGCAGGUACUAACGUCCUACCUACGUUACGUGCUACAUACUCCUCAAAUAAGGAGGAAGAGAAUUAAUAAGGAUGUGAGGAAGACCAAUCUUCCAGAGUGUGUGGUUGGAAUCUGGUGUGCAGCACCUGAGGAUGUGGUGGAAGCAGAUUCUGUUGCAGUCUUCUCAACAUAAUUGGAAGAAGGAUCCCAACUCAAAACGUCACCUAUGCAUGAUCUCCUGAGAUGCUGCUUGACUCGCUGAAUCACUCCAGCACAUUGUGUACUUUUGUGUAAACCAGUAUCUGCAGUUCCUUGUUUCCACUAGAUUAAUAUAUAAUUUAGGAAAAUCAGGUUUUGACAAUAGGUGGAUUGUAAACUGAUAGAACGAUAUAAACUGGAUAUGUUCAAGAGGCGUCAGUCUAAAACUAUCCUCCAGCUCACAAAAUUAUUUUCUUGACUUUUUGUCAAAUUGUGGAAAUAAUAUAUAUGGCAGUGUUUUGUUAUGUGCCUAUUUAAUAAAAGCAUGUUCUUCAGUGAAGUCAGCCCUUAUUUACUAUUAGAAUCAACCAUGGCUCAGUGAAUAGCACCUUCAUGUCGUAGAGUUCUUUGCAUAGAGUUCUUUGUUCAAUUCAUGCUCCGGGGAUUUGAGUGCAGAUCUAAUCGACAUGGAGAGAGGGUUUCAAUCUGAGGCUUGGAGGUCUCGCCUGCUGCUCCUUUUUGAUUAGAAAUAUGCCGUGAUGCUCUCAAACAAAUGGAGAAUGUCCUCCCUGAUCUCUCGUACUAUAUUUCAUUCAAUAUCAGUAAAAACCAUUGUUCUGUUCAAUGUGAUAUUGUGAUAUGUGGGAACUCGCUAUGUGCAAAUUGGCAAAUGCUUUUUCUGUGCAGGGAGCAAUGGCCAUAUGUCAAAAGUAUACCAUUGACUGUAAAGCACUUAGGGGC